rnacentral:lncRNA from 1 species
AGCCACAGCACAUCAUCCCAGAAAAACCAGUGGGGUCUUUGAGUCACAGGCAGCCCUCCCUGGAACAUAAAAACAUAAACAUAAAUAAAGGUCUCUCCUUUAUUGCCAUUAAUGGGAACAUUUCCUGGCACUGGUCAGAUGACAAACUCUUUUUCCCAGUUCCCUCAGCCAACUCAGUAACCAUGGCAACUGUCUCCAGUGUAAUGACAUCAUAUGGUUUCCUAGGCAACUGUUCCCAGUGCAAUGACGUCAUGUGGUCACCAUGGCAAUGCUCCAUGAGGCCAGGAAGAAAGUAUUUGAAGUGGGAAGAUAGGUCAGAAAGGACAAAAGAGGGCUCAGGGAAGAGCAGGAUGAAAGAUAAUGGAGGUCAGAGAUGCUGAAGCACAGCAUGGUCACAGGAAGUUUGAGUGUGGCUCAGGCGCUGAUUUAGUGGAGGGACUUUGGACAAUCCAGGAGAAACUGCCAGAAAUCUCCAGAGAGACACCAGGGGCUCUGUCACAGCAGUGCCAAGAACCAGGUGUCACUGCCAUGCCUUACAGGGCUGGAGAAGAUUCCUUUGCCCUCUUCCUUCUGUUCUCUGUACUUGAAGACAUGAUAACAAUAACCUGGCCAGCUGACAAAUGAAAAUGGGUUUUCCUUUGACUGAAAGCUCCUUCAGCACCUCAUCAAGGUAGAAGAAUGUCCCUUCUUUUUAAUUUUCUAGAUCUUCUUCCAAUUCUAUUAUACUCUCAAAUGUUAGAGUUUGCUGAAGAUAAAUAUCCUUUCUGCAUUCAAUCCUGUUUAAUUCUGGACAGUUUCAGCCAGUA